GACGAACGCUGGCGGCGUGCUUAACACAUGCAAGUCGAACGGAAAGGCCCUGCUUUUUUUGGUUGCUCGAGUGGCGAACGUGUGAGUAACACGUGAGUAACCUGCCCUUGUCUUUGGUAUAACUUCAGGAAACUUGUGCUAAUACCUGAUAGGAGCUCCUGCUGCAUGUUGGGGGUUGGAAAGUUUCGGCGGUUGGGGAUGGACUCGCUGCUUAUCAGCUUGUUGGUGGGGUAGUGGAUUACCAAGGCUUUGACGGGUAGCCUGACUGAGAGGGUGACCGGAAAAAUUGGGAAGGAGAUACGGCCCAGAGUAAUACGGGAGGCAGCAGUGGGGAAUAUGGCACAAUGGGCGGAAGCCUGAUGAAGAAAAGCAGCGGGAGGGAUGACGGCCUUCGGGUUGUAAAACGCAUUAGCCUGUGACGAAGAGUGAGUGACGGUAAUGGGUAAAGAAGCACCGGCUAACUACGUG
rnacentral:rRNA from 1 species